GGUUACCUACGGGGGGCAGCAGUGAGGAAUAUUGGUCAAUGGGCGAAAGCCUGAACCAGCCAUGCCGCGUGCAGGAAGACGGCUCUAUGAGUUGUAAACUGCUUUUGUACGAGGGUAAACACAGAUACGUGUAUCUGCUUGAAAGUAUCGUACGAAUAAGGAUCGGCUAACUCCGUGCCAGCAGCCGCGGUAAUACGGAGGAUCCAAGCGUUAUCCGGAUUUAUUGGGUUUAAAGGGUGCGCAGGCGGUUUAGUAAGUCAGCGGUGAAAUUUUGGUGCUCAACACCAAACGUGCCGUUGAUACUG
rnacentral:rRNA from 1 species